GCACUGUUGAAGAGUCCCACAAUAGGACGAAAUGGCUAUCCGGUGC
rnacentral:hammerhead_ribozyme from 1 species